rnacentral:rRNA from 1 species
GAUGAACGCUGGCGGCGUGCCUAAUACAUGCAAGUCGAGCGAACAGAUGAGAAGCUUGCUUCUCUGAUGUUAGCGGCGGACGGGUGAGUAACACGUGGGUAACCUACCUAUAAGACUGGGAUAACUCCGGGAAGCCGGGGCUAAUACCGGAUAAUAUUUUGAACCGCAUGGUUCAAUAGUGAAAGACGGUUUCGGCUGUCACUUAUAGAUGGACCCGCGCCGUAUUAGCUAGUUGGUAAGGUAACGGCUUACCAAGGCGACGAUACGUAGCCGACCUGAGAGGGUGAUCGGCCACACUGGAACUGAGACACGGUCCAGACUCCGACGGGAAGCAGCAGUAGGGAAUCUUCCGCAAUGGGCGAAAGCCUGACGGAGCAACGCCGCGUGAGUGAUGAAGGUCUUCGGAUCGUAAAACUCUGUUGUUAGGGAAGAACAAAUUUGUUAGUAACUGAACAAGUCUUGACGGUACCUAACCAGAAAGCCACGGCUAACUACGUGCCAGCCGCCGCGGUAA